rnacentral:rRNA from 1 species
AUUGAACGCUGGCGGCAGGCCUAACACAUGCAAGUCGAACGAGUGGCGGACGGGUGAGUAAUGUCUGGGAAACUGCCUGAUGGAGGGGGAUAACUACUGGAAACGGUAGCUAAUACCGCAUACCAUCGGAUGUGCCCAGAUGGGAUUAGCUAGUAGGUGGGGUAACGGCUCACCUAGGCGACGAUCCCUAGCUGGUCUGAGGGGAUGACCGGCCAAACUGGACCGGGGCCAGGGUCCGUACCCCUACGGGAGGCAGGAGGGGGGAAUAGUGCACAAUGGGCGCAAGCCGGAUGCCGCCAUGCCGGGUGUAUGAAGAAGGCCGUCGGGUUGUAAAGUACUUUCAGCGGGGAGGCGUUACCCGUAGAAGAAGCACCGGCUAACUCCGUGCCAGCAGCGGCGGAAUUC